rnacentral:rRNA from 1 species
UUAAGUUAACAAGGGCGCAUGGUGAAUGCCUUGGCACUAGGAGCCGAUGAAGGACGGGACUAACACCGAUAUGCUUCGGGGAGCUGUACGUAAGCUAUGAUCCGGAGAUUUCCGAAUGGGGCAACCCAGCAGUUUUAAUCAACUGUUACCACUAGAUGAAUUCAUAGUCUAGUUGGAGGUAAACGCUGUGAACUGAAACAUCUCAUUAGCAGCAGGAAUAUAAAGAAAUUUCGAUUCCCUAAGUAGCGGCGAGCGAACGGGGAACAGCCCAAACCAAAGUGCUUGCACUUUGGGGUUGUAGGACUGAACAUUUGAGUUACCAAAGAACUUGAUAGUCGAAGGAUUUGGGAAAAUCCGCCAUAGAUGGUGAUAGCCCAGUAGAUUAAAUCAAAUUCUCUCAGUUCAGGAUCCUGAGUACGGCGGAACACGUGAAAUUCCGUCGGAAUCCGGGAGGACCAUCUCCCAAGGCUAAAUACUACCUAGUGACCGAUAGUGAACCAGUACCGUGAGGGAAAGGUGAAAAGCACCCCGGGAGGGGAGUGAAAUAGUUCCUGAAACCAUGUGCCUACAAUAAGUCAGAGCGCGUUAAUGCGUGAUGGCGUGCCUUUUGUAGAAUGAACCGGCGAGUUAUGAUCCCGUGCAAGGUUAAGACUAAAAAGUCGGAGCCGUAGCGAAAGCGAGUCUGAAAUGGGCGUUUUGAGUACGAGGUUAUAGACCCGAAACCAGGUGACCUAUCCAUGUCCAGGUUGAAGGUGCGGUAAAACGCACUGGAGGACCGAACCCGUGUAAGUUGAAAAUUGCUGGGAUGAGGUGUGGAUAGCGGUGAAAUUCCAAACGAACUUGGAGAUAGCUGGUUCUCUCCGAAAUAGCUUUAGGGCUAGCCUCGGAAUUAGGAUCAUGGAGGUAGAGCACUAUUUGGACUAGGGGCCCGUCUUGGGUUACUGAAUUCAGAUAAACUCCGAAUGCCAUUGAUUCAUAUCCGGGAGUCAGACGAUGAGUGAUAAGAUCCACCGUCGAAAGGGGAACAGCCCAGACCAUCAGUUAAGGUCCCUAAAUGUAUGCUAAGUGGAAAAGGAUGUGGAGUUGCAUAGACAACUAGGAUGUUGGCUCAGAAGCAGCCACCAUUUAAAGAGUGCGUAAUAGCUCACUAGUCGAGUGAUCCUGCGCCGAAAAUGUACCGGGGCUAAGCAUACUACCGAAACCAUGGAUGCGACCAUUAGGUCGCGUGAUAGGAGAGCGUUCUAAGGGCGGUGAAGCAAGAUCGUGAGGACUUGUGGAGCGCUUAGAAGUGAGAAUGCCGGUAUGAGUAGCGAAAGAUAGGUGAGAAUCCUAUCCACCGAAUGACUAAGGUUUCCUGGGGAAGGCUCGUCCUCCCAGGGUUAGUCGGGACCUAAGUCGAGGCCGAGAGGCGUAGACGAUGGAUAACAGGUUGAGAUUCCUGUACUAGUUAAGUGCGUUUGAGCAAUGGAGGGACGCAGGAGGCUAAGAUGUGCAUUCUGUUGGAUUAGAAUGUCCAAGCAGUAAGUCUUGUGAAGAGUCAAAUGCUUUUCACUUUAAGGACAAGCUGUGAUGGGGAGCGAAAUUUAGUAGCGAAGCGUCUGAUGUCACACUGCCGAGAAAAGCUUCUAGUGAGUACUUAACUACCCGUACCGCAAACCGACACAGGUAGUCGAGGAGAGAAUCCUAAGGUGAGCGAGUGAACUCUCGUUAAGGAACUCGGCAAAAUGACCCCGUAACUUCGGGAGAAGGGGUGCUGAUCGCAAGAUCAGCCGCAGUGAAUAGGCCCAGGCGACUGUUUAUCAAAAACACAGGUCUCUGCAAAAUCGUAAGAUGACGUAUAGGGGCUGACGCCUGCCCGGUGCUGGAAGGUUAAAAGGAUGGGUUAGCUUCGGCGAAGCUCAGAAUUGAAGCCCCAGUAAACGGCGGCCGUAACUAUAACGGUCCUAAGGUAGCGAAAUUCCUUGUCGGGUAAGUUCCGACCCGCACGAAAGGCGUAACGAUCUGGGCACUGUCUCAACGAGAGACUCGGUGAAAUUAUAUUGUCCGUGAAGAUGCGGACUACCCGCGACAGGACGGAAAGACCCCAUGGAGCUUUACUGUAGCUUGAUAUUGAGUGUUUGUACAGCUUGUACAGGAUAGGUAGGAGCCAUAGAAACCGGAACGCUAGUUUCGGUGGAGGCGUUGGUGGGAUACUACCCUCGCUGUAUGACCACUCUAACCCGCACCACUAAUCGUGGUGGGAGACAGUGUCAGGUGGGCAGUUUGACUGGGGCGGUCGCCUCCUAAAAAGUAACGGAGGCGCCCAAAGGUUCCCUCAGAAUGGUUGGAAAUCAUUCGCAGAGUGUAAAGGUAUAAGGGAGCUUGACUGCGAGAGCUACAACUCGAGCAGGGACGAAAGUCGGGCUUAGUGAUCCGGUGGUUCCGUAUGGAAGGGCCAUCGCUCAACGGAUAAAAGCUACCCUGGGGAUAACAGGCUUAUCUCCCCCAAGAGUCCACAUCGACGGGGAGGUUUGGCACCUCGAUGUCGGCUCAUCGCAUCCUGGGGCUGUAGUCGGUCCCAAGGGUUGGGCUGUUCGCCCAUUAAAGCGGUACGCGAGCUGGGUUCAGAACGUCGUGAGACAGUUCGGUCCCUAUCCGUCGCGGGCGUAGGAAAUUUGAGAGGACCUGUCCUUAGUACGAGAGGACCGGGAUGGACAUACCUCUGGUGUACCAGUUGUGCCGCCAGGCGCAUCGCUGGGUAGCUACGUAUGGAUGUGAUAAACGCUGAAAGCAUCUAAGUGUGAAACACACCUCGAGAUGAGAUUUCCCAUUCCUUUAUGGAAGUAAGACCCCUGAAAGAUGAUCAGGUAGAUAGGUUAGAAGUGGCAGUGCGGUGACGCAUGAAGCGGACUAAUACUAAUCGGUCGAGGACUUAACCAA